GAGCUUCUCUCCCGGAGGAUCCAUUCUUGUCGAGUGCUGCUCGUCGGAGCGGCAAUGAUCGAAGAGCCCAGGAACAGGCUUUGGAUCCAGUGUCUCAUCGUGGCACUGUGUUCGAUCCUGGAGAUGCUUUCGUUGUUCAGCUCGCGGCAGCAGCGGAGAAGCGAGCUGAGAUGGAGAAGCACAUGCAAAGGAUCACCGAGUUUGGGAUGAGGAGGCCUGGCAACAAGCACUCCCACAGGAUCCGUGAGGUGGAGAAUCUGGAGAAGCCCGUGGUUGAGGCAAAUCACUCGGCCAAUUCUGGAGGUUCGCAUUUGGCUGCUCGUGUACACGACUCAGAUGCCAAGCCUUCCACCUCGGAGGUUAAGCUGGAGCUCGACGGAGCUUAGAGCGAAAGGAGGUACGCUUUUCGGUCGUUUUGGACUGAUGAUACGCUUGAGGUUGCAGGCACAGAAUGAAGAUUCAUGAAACAAAUUACUUCGGUUU